UAUACGCUAAAAGCUGAUUGGCUCCGCCAUCUUUUGCUCAGAUUUCCGGAUUAAUUUGGAAGGGGUAAACAGAUGAUCAGUUGUUUAUUUUUCGUUUACUCCAGUUUACUCUGGUUUAACCUUUAACCUCACUUAACUAGAUAGAUCGAGAAAUAUUAAAUUACUAUUACUAUUAUUCAGGUUGAAAAAUGCCUUCUUCUAAGGUAAAAGGUUGCGAAGUCGAUUGGGGAAAAAUAAUGUGAAAAUGAAUUCUUUCCCAAAAGAAUCUGAACGACGGAAAUAAAAAUAUAGGGUUAAAACAAGAUCCAAACAAAUAUGCUGUUGUUUGUGAAAAAAACUGUAUGAGUUUUUGUGAAUGAACAACGAUUGUGAAUGAGUGAGAAGUCUAAUAAAGCCACGACGAGAUACUGUAUUAGAGCGUACGAUUUGGAGGUAUUUUUGAUUAGAUACAUUUUGUAAAGUACAAUAUAAAUUAGAUUUGAUAAUGUGUAGUAUUUCCUAAUAAAUUAAAUACUAUUAAGUGUUUAUUGUUCUUGUAAGUUAGUGUGGUAAAUAAAUAAUAUGAAGUAAG